AGGAAUAUUGGACAAUGGGUGAGAGCCUGAUCCAGCCAUCCCGCGUGAAGGAUUAAGGUCCUAUGGAUUGUAAACUUCUUUUGUAUAGGGAUAAACCUACUCUCGUGAGAGUAGCUGAAGGUACUAUACGAAUAAGCACCGGCUAACUCCGUGCCAGCAGCCGCGGUAAUACGGAUGGUGCAAGCGUUAUCCGGAUUUAUUGGGUUUAAAGGGUCCGUAGGCUGAUGUGUAAGUCAGUGGUGAAAUCUCGCAGCUUAACUGCGAAACUGCCAUUGAUACUGCAUGUCUUGAGUAAAUUUGAAGUGGCUGGAAUAAGUAGUGUAGCGGUGAAAUGCAUAGAUAUUACUUAGAACACCAAUUGCGAAGGCAGGUCACUAAGAUUUAACUGACGCUGAUGGACGAAAGCGUGGGGAGCGAACAA
rnacentral:rRNA from 1 species